rnacentral:rRNA from 1 species
CGCUGGCGGCGUGCUUAACACAUGCAAGUCGAACGGGAUCCAAGCAGCUUNUUCUUUGGUGAGAGUGGCGAACGGGUGAGUAAUGCGUGACCGACCUGCCCCAUACACCGGAAUAUCUCCUGGAAACGGGUGGUAAUGCCGGAUGCUCCANUUGGAUGCAUGUCCUUCUGGGAAAGAUUCUAUCNGUAUGGGAUGGGGUCGCGUCCUAUCAGGUAGUCGGCGGGGUAACGGCCCACCGAGCCUACGACGGGUAGCCGGCCUGAGAGGGCGACCGGCCACAUUGGGACUGAGAUACGGCCCANACUCCUACGGGAGGCAGCANUGGGGAAUAUUGCACAAUGGGCGCAAGCCUGAUGCAGCGACACCGCGUGCGGGAUGACGGCCUUCGGGUUGUAAACCGCUUUUGACUGGGAGCAAGCCCUUCNGGGUGAGUGUACCUUUCGAAUAAGCACCGGCUAACUACNUGCCANCAGCCGCGG